AGUGAACGCUGGCGGCGUGCUUAACACAUGCAAGUCGAACGAGAACGGGUUAUAGCUUGCUAUAAUUGUCAGCUAAGUGGCGCACGGGUGAGUAAUGUAUAGGUAAUAUGCCUCUUACUAAGGGAUAACAAAUGGAAACGUUUGCUAAUACCUUAUACUCCUUAUUAACAGAAGUUAAUAAGGGAAAGAUUUAUUGGUAAGAGAUUAGCCUGUAUUGUAUCAGUUAGUUGGUGUGGUAAUGGCUUACCAAGACUAUGACACAUAACUGGUUUGAGAGCAUGACCCGGCUCACUGGGACUGAGACACUGCCCAGACUCCUACGGGAGGCUGCAGUCAAGAAUAUUCCUCAAUGCCCGCAAGGGUGAAGGAGCGACGCCGCGUGUAUGAUGACGCCCCUCGGGGUGUAAAGUACUUUUAUUAGGGACGAAUCAAUGACGGUACCUAAUGAAUAAGUGGUUGCUAACUCUGUGCCAGCAGCCGCGGUAA
rnacentral:rRNA from 1 species